GUAGCAGCAGAGGCAGGGCACGGCGAGGGAGAGUGCGGCCAGCGCGGCCCAGCGCGCGGCGGGGCGCGGGUGGCCCGGCUCGCAGGCGCACGGGUCCGAGAAGUCGCCCUCGGCAUCCGACAGGCAGUGGUAGAGCAAGCUCUCGGCGCACCACAGGCAGCUGAGACGGCGCACCAGCCGGCGACCCGGGUCCGGGGCCUCGGCGCAGCGGCCGCCGCGCCCGUCGGCGCGACGGCGGAAGAGCGCGCGGCAGUGCACGCAGCGCGCCGCCUCCUCCGCCUCCGGGGAGGCCUUGCUCACCAACCUACAGAACAUCAAACCAACCUCCCUUCUCAGAAGCCCUCUCCCUUGGCUGUCAGCUGCCUUCCUGCCUCCUUCCCACCACCACACCUUUACUGGGGCAGUUCCACCCACCUGGAAUGUGUUCCUUCCCAUCCAAACCAAGCUCUGUCCUUUACGAGCUUCUCAGACCCUUGGUUUCCUUUCUGUAACUUGGGAAUAAUUCCCACCUCAUCCGAUUACUAUCUUCAAUAAACAUUCAUUGAGCACCCA